CGGGGCGUAGUGAAGUGGCAUAACAGAAAGUUUGGGACUUUCCAUCGCAGGUUCGAUUCCUGUCGCCCCGACCA
rnacentral:tRNA from 1 species